rnacentral:lncRNA from 1 species
ACCUAAUUUAGAAAUAAAAUGUAGAGACAGAGAAGCGAAGAUCAAAAUGAUAUUUACAAUGCUGCUACAACAACCUGGAAAAUACUUUAUGUCUUCAGCCAAGAGGACUUGCUGACGCUACCCGUCCCUUCCUGUAGCCUUUGGGCCUCCGGGCAGCCACACUCCCCCAGCUUUGCUGCCUCAUCAAUGUGCAGAUCAGCAGUGGAGAAGGAAGGAAGAGGGAAUGCUCAGCAACUUUCAAUUUCUAACAGAGUAGGUUUCUUCAAGCUAUAAAUGAAGGCUAGUGGAUAUUACCUUCCAAUUACUCCAAUUAAAAUACUUAGUUAUCUUGGGGAGGUGUCAAAAAUAAAGGUUGACCUUAGCAUUCAGAGAGCAAAGAGACUUUCAGGAUAUCUGUUCCCAAGUACGGCGAGAUGGCAGUCCUCUCUCAGAGCUCCAUUCUGCACAGAAUACGGAUGUGUGAAGCACACUUGUGUCUGCCCACUGCCCAUUGUUUGCUUCUUAACAGAAUGGCCUUCCAGAAGAAUUCCACAAAUUUGUUGAAAAGGAUUUCUUUGGAGGAAAAGCUUCGGAAGGAUACAAAGUAGUUACUUUUGAAAGGUGGAAUUGGUAAAGGGAUAUUGAUGGUGACAGGAAACUUUCACUCUUUCCUGUGUAUGUAUUUAUUAUAUAGCUUUAUGAUUAAAACUGCAUAUGUAUGAUUAAAAUAAUUAAAAAGAUCAAUUUGACAUAUGGCAUUUUUUCAGUAAAAGAUAGAAAGGAAGGAAUUUAGGAAAGAUGGAAGGAAGGAAGGGAGAAAGGAAAAAGGAGACUCCUUGAUAAUCAGAGCGAGAGUUAGGUACUUAAACAGCCAAUUUGUCAACAGUGAUGAUGCUGCUGCUGAUGAUAAGAGUGAUGAAUACCACUAUUGCCUUCAGUUUUACUUUGGACUUGAAUAGCAUCUGGACUUAGCUGCUCACUGCCUGGACACCCUGCCUUUUCUCUCAGUUCUAACUAAGCUUCGCUCGUGCUUCUUUGUUAAAUACCAAUGAAAUUCACAGAUCUUUGCAACCUUAAGCUGUAAGAAAAUUCAGUGCAAAAGCCUGGCUUAUAUAACUUUGAACCUUGACAACUAG